UGCAUCGAUGAAGAACGCAGCGAAAUGCGAUAAGUAAUGUGAAUUGCAGAAUUCAGUGAAUCAUCGAAUCUUUGAACGCACCUUGCGCUCCUUGGUAUUCCGAGGAGCAUGCCUGUUUGAGUAACAAGAAACCCUCAAACCCAAGUUUGAUCUGUCUAUAUGACUGGUUUGACUUGGCAUAAUAAGUAUUUUGCUGAGGACAUCCUCUGGAUUUCGAUCCAUGCUUGAGUUUGGAUUUGGAUGUUUGCCGGUGAUGAACCGACUCAUCUUAAAAGUAUUAGCUUGGGAUGGCCAGGACCUNG
rnacentral:rRNA from 1 species